rnacentral:rRNA from 1 species
UACGGAGGAUGCAAGCGUUAUCCGGAUUCAUUGGGUUUAAAGGGUGCGUAGGCGGCUCUUUAAGUCAGUGGUGAAAUCCUGCCGCUUAACGGUAGAAUUGCCAUUGAUACUGAAGAGCUUGAGUACAGUUGAGGUAAGCGGAAUGUGUAGUGUAGCGGUGAAAUGCUUAGAUAUUACACAGAACACCAAUUGCGAAGGCAGCUUACUAAACUGUCACUGACGCUGAUGCACGAAAGCGUGGGGAGCGAACAGG